rnacentral:snRNA from 1 species
GUGCUUACUUCAGCAGCACAUGUGCUAAAAUUGAAAUGAUAGAGGAAAGAUUAGCAUGGUCCAUUGUAAAGGGAUGACAUGCAAAUCCAUGAAGUGUUCCAUAUUAAA